CAGAGGGCAUGACACCACCAGGAAAGCCACUUCACUGGGUUCUCAGACACUCAGGGCACUGCAGACUCAGACUUGAAGCCUGACUGCCAGCCCAAGGUCGCGGGAGACGAUCUGGACCCCACAACCUCCAUUGUGCUGCUCCUUCUCCAAGAGCCAGCUUCCUCUUCUGGAAGCCAAAGAUGGAGAAGCUCUAUACAGUAAGCAAAAACCAAGACCAGGAGCUGACUGUGGCUCAGAUCAUGAACUCCUUAUUGCCAAAUUCAGACUGAAAUUGAAGAAAGUAGGGGAAACCACUAGACCAUUCAGAUGUUUCUCCGUCACACAUUCCACCACUGAGCUGCCCUCCCUGACAAGCCAUCUCCUCGCUAACAUCUCUGCUGCC
ensembl:lncRNA